rnacentral:rRNA from 1 species
ACGCUCGACACCUACGUGAGGCAGCAGUAGGGAAUCUUCCACAAUGGACGCAAGUCUGAUGGAGCAACGCCGCGUGAGUGAAGAAGGUUUUCGGAUCGUAAAGCUCUGUUGUUGGUGAAGAAGGAUAGAGGUAGUAACUGGCCUUUAUUUGACGGUAAUCAACCAGAAAGUCACGGCUAACUACGUGCCAGCAGUCGCGGUAAUCUGAGCGGGCUGGCAAGGC